GACGAACGCUGGCGGCGUGCCUAAUACAUGCAAGUAGAACGCAGUUGCGAACGGGUGAGUAACGCGAAGGUAACUGCCUCAGAGCGGGGGAUAACUAUUGGAAACGAUAGCUAAUACCGCAUACUGUGGGCUGGAACUGCGUUGGAUUGGCUAGUUGGUGAGGUAAAGGCUCACCAAGGCGACGAUACAGAGCCGACCUGAGAGGGUGAACCGGCAAACUGGGAAUGGGAAACGGCCCAGGCUCCUACGGGAGGCAGCAGGAGGGAAUUAUCGGACAUGGAGGGAAGUCUUAACGAGCACAGCCGCGGUAGGGGAGAAGGUUUUCGGAUCGGAAAGCUAUGUUGUUAGAGAAGCGGUAACUAACCAGAAAGGGACGGCUAACUACGUGCCAGCAGCCGCGGUAAUUC
rnacentral:rRNA from 1 species